CAGCAUAUAUUGUGAAAAGGUUUCAUCACUUUUCAGAUGUGGAAUCACCAACAUUUAGGGACAUGGUGAAAACCAUCAACCCAAGUACACACCACCUACCAUGGACAACUUGUCAAAUAAGUUAAUCCCAUCUUGUUAUAAGGUGGAGAAGAGCUGCUCUGCGCUUUAAACAUAAGAUGGAUGACGUGUCUGGGUGCAGAUCCAGAAAAAGAUGAUUGAACAGAGGAAGACUGUGGAGAUGAUGGGGUCACCAUGCAGUCUGAGGAAAGGCCUGAGUGUGAGGGAGUGGAGGAUGAGGAGGAG